rnacentral:rRNA from 1 species
AACGUAGGUGGCGAGCGUUAUCCGGAUUUACUGGGCGUAAAGGGUGUGCAGGCGGGGUGCCAAGUAGUGUAUGAAAGGCCCAGGCUCAACCUGGGUAGGUUAUGCUAGACUGGCACUCUAGAGUACGAGAGAGGGACAUGGAAUUCCGGGUGUAGUGGUGAAAUGCGUAGAGAUCCGGAGGAACCCCAGAGGCGAAGGCGGUGUCCUGGCUCAGUACUGACGCUCAUACACGACAGCAUGGGGAGCGAACGGG